GUCAGUAACCCAGCCCUAAAGGGACUGGGCUUGUAAGAGAAAUCAAGCAAGCCGUACUGACCAGACCACCCUGAGUUUACUCUCAUGGUAGCGGUUAAAACCGUGGUCAGUGAGCAGUUCGGCAAACUCACUGUAACACUUGUCGAACUGCU
rnacentral:sRNA from 25 species